CAGCAGCAGCCGCGGGAAUACGGAGGGUGCAAGCGUUAUCCGGAUUUAUUGGGUUUAAAGGGUCCGUAGGCGGAUCUGUAAGUCAGUGGUGAAAUCUCACAGCUUAACUGUGAAACUGCCAUUGAUACUGCAGGUCUUGAGUAAAUUUGAAGUGGCUGGAAUAAGUAGUGUAGCGGUGAAAUGCAUAGAUAUUACUUAGAACACCAAUUGCGAAGGCAGGUCACUAAGAUUUAACUGACGCUGAUGGACGAAAGCGUGGGGAGCGAACAGGAUUAGAUACCCCUGUAGUCCCUGUCUCUUAUAC
rnacentral:rRNA from 1 species